rnacentral:lncRNA from 1 species
UAGUGUAAAGACCUUCAAAGAAGAACGAGAGACUAGCUUUGACACUAUAGUUUGUGUAUUUUGUCUGGUUUCGAGGGGAGUGGGGAAGGGGCCCAUAAUCAUCACAUGGGAAGUGCGAGCUUCUCGUUACGGUGUUACAUGUGAAGGUAUCGAUUUCUUAGCACGGAGUCCGAGUACGCACUGAAAUACAGUAGAUUUGAGGAGACAAGAGGGGAUAUUAUAGAUCUGUUACAAAUGGGGAAUGGUUGGGUUAAAAACUGUAAAAGAUAGCGCAAUUUAAGGAGAUGGGCCGAGGAGGUUUCAAUUUUGGUCAAUUUUCUUUCAUUGUGUUAAUUUCACAUCAUUGUUUUUAAAGUCGGUGAUCUGAUCGAAGUAGUGUUCGGAAUCCGAUAUUCUAAAUUUAGCCCUGUUUGAAGACCUUUAUAUAUAUAGAAAAAAUAAUAAUAUUUUGAAUAGUAUUUUCAAAGAACUGUAGAAAGUGAGAAAAAUUUUGAAUUUACGCGCACAAUAUUUUAUCAUAUAAAUAUAUAAUUGAAAAUAAGUAUAUAAAAAAAAAAGAAUUUUUAUAUAAUGAUAUUGUGAUUUUAAUAAAUUUUUGAUAUCUCGAUAGAUUACUUCACAUCUUCUCACAAAAAGGUAAGAAGAUGUCAAAGGUACCAAGAAAUAUAGUUGGGGGCAAUGGAAUAAAAAAUUCAAGAUAGCAUAUUUGAAUUCGGACCGAGCUACAUAGUCCGUACAGGUGAUCGCGUGGUUCACAUAAUACACACACAUGAGAUUGAGAUUAUUUUAUUCGUGGGGAACCCACGUCGGUCAUGUGAGGGUGUGGUCAUCCGGAGUGUCAACGACGCAGAUCGUUUGGCUUUUCCCUUUGAAUUCAAGGUAUCUAGUGGCAGAUUCAAUGAUUUAAUUUUUAGUAAAGAAAUAAUAAAGUUUGAAUUGUAUUAUAUAAGUAAAUUGAUGCAAAUGGCAAAAAAAUUGAAGUCCUACAAGUGAAGUAAUCUACGGAUGGUGGGAAGGUUAAAACCUAAUUACCAUUGAAUUUUCUUAACUCUCUCUCAAUUGUCAUUAACGUUAAAGGCUUUCCGAGUGGUAAUGAAUUUUGUCAAAUGUUUUCCGAUUGUCAUUUAAAUGUAAAAUACUUUUGCAUCCGUUCACUUGUUACUCGCCAUUUCAGAAGUCAACUAGAUGACAUAGUAGAAUGAAUGAUAGAUGAGAUAAAAUUUUGAUAUAUUCGUAAGUCUAUUAAUUGUUGAAAUAGUAAGUAACAGAUAAUAUUUUAAUAAGUUCAACGACAACUUGUAAAAAUUUUAAAGUUCAAUAACAAUUAAAAAGACAUUAAUAAAAAUCCAAUUGACACUAUAGUUUGUGUAUUUUGUCUGGUUUCGAGGGGAGUGGGGAAGGGGCCCAUAAUCAUCACAUGGGAAGUGCGAGCUUCUCGUUACGGUGUUACAUGUGAAGGUAUCGAUUUCUUAGCACGGAGUCCGAGUACGCACUGAAAUACAGUAGAUUUGAGGAGACAAGAGGGGAUAUUAUAGACCUGUUACAAAUGGGGAAUGGUUGGGUUAAAAACUGUAAAAGAUAGCGCAAUUUAAGGAGAUGGGCCGAGGAGGUUUCAAUUUUGGUCAAUUUUCUUUCAUUGUGUUAAUUUCACAUCAUUGUUUUUAAAGUCGGUGAUCUGAUCGAAGUAGUGUUCGG